rnacentral:lncRNA from 1 species
AGAAAAUGGUGAAAUGAAAGAAUGAAUAGAUAAGGAUAGUUAUAUGUCCUAAAAGAAGCAAAUUGAUAUUUUGGUCCCUGACCGAAAAGUUACAUUCUGGUCCCUAUUGGAUAAAUUACCAGUUUACUCCCUAGAGGGCAAAAACAGUCGAAUGACAUCCCGAAGCGGAAAUUAUUAAGAAAAUAAAGCUUAUGCAAGUUCAAUACCCGAAAGUGGG